rnacentral:rRNA from 1 species
UUAGCGGCGGACGGGUGAGUAACACGUAGGCAACCUGCCCCUUAGACUGGGAUAACUACCGGAAACGGUAGCUAAUACCGGAUAAUUUCUUUUUUCUCCUGAAGAAAGAAUGAAAGACGGAGCAAUCUGUCACUGAGGGAUGGGCCUGCGGCGCAUUAGCUAGUUGGUGGGGUAACGGCCCACCAAGGCGACGAUGCGUAGCCGACCUGAGAGGGUGAACGGCCACACUGGGACUGAGACACGGCCCAGACUCCUACGGGAGGCAGCAGUAGGGAAUCUUCCGCAAUGGACGAAAGUCUGACGGAGCAACGCCGCGUGAGUGAUGAAGGUUUUCGGAUCGUAAAGCUCUGUUGCCAGGGAARAACGUCCGGGUAGAGUAACUGCUAUCGGAGUGACGGUACCUGARAARAAAGCCCCGGCUAACUACGUGCCAGCAGCCGCGGUAAUACGUAGGGGCAAGCGUUGUCCGG